ensembl:lncRNA
UCCUGUUGUCCUUCUCUGAUUUAUAACCUAGAUAACUGACUACUUGCAAAUGUAGUAAAUGCAUUUGCUAUUGGAAGUGCGAGGUAUGAUUUCAUAUUGCAUUUCAUUUUGCUGCAUUAUUUGCAGCAAAAGAACAAGUUACUUGUCUUCCUCUUCUACUUAUGUACCCAUGUUAUAGUUUACUGCUUUAUCAGUUAGAUCAGCGCAAGUGUUUGUUUUUGAACUUGUGCAAGCUGGAUAAUUAAAUGUCUCAGUUAAACUAAGCAAUUAUAUUUACCUCUUAUCACUCAGUUGUAGGGUCAUACAGUAGUCCAGGUUGUUAACAGCUCUACUGCCACAGCUAAGGACUAGAUAUGCUGCAGUAUGGGAAUGGGCAGAAAUUAUCAGGAACAUAGGGAUGGCUGAAAGUCUUGAGUAUUUUGUGUUGGUUUUUUUAACUAGUUUUGCCACUGGAGAAAAAUAAUGUAAAGGUGUACUGUUAGCUACUUUAUAUUGGUUACUUUAUGUCCUAGAAGGUACUUGAUUUUUCUUGCUUGAUAUAUCAGAUAAAAAUUCAUGAGUGAGUCUUACAGUUCUACCAUGAUAGUUUGAAUAUUCAAUUUGUUUAUAUGGACACUUAGCCAAAAAAGUGAUGUACUGGCUGUCUUGCAAGGUGAAACUUUUCAUCUGAAUUAAUGCAGUCUCAUAACUUUUGAAAUAAAUAAAACCCACUGACACAUCUAAACACUUUAAAAUGUUGUUUAGUAGAAUAAUGAGUAAUUUGAUCCUUAGUGAAAAGGACAUAAUUCAAAUCCUGACCCUAUGUAGAAGUGUUAAAGGAAUUGCAACAAGGUGAACCUCCACAUUUGUUAGAGAUGAAUACCAGUUUUGGGACCGCUUUGAUAUAAAUCAUGUGAGGGAGGACAUUUAUUGAUGGCAUAAUUGUCUAGUUUUGCCUAUUCUAUUAUCUUGUUUGUUUGAAGAAUCUGACACCUUUUUCUUGUUUCCUUUUAAAUUUUCAGGCCACAGCCAAGUACAUCAUCAUCUUUAUUACUGUGCAGUACAGUGUCACCUAUACUAUUGGCCUGGAUGAUGUGGAAAUCUAUAAAUUUUCAGCAUAAGAAAUGGAAAUAGCAUAUUAAGAACUUAAUUCCAAAGGAAAAAAUAAUUAAGAACCAGCCAACAAAAGAGGAAGUGAGCAGAGAGCAGCCUUCCUGCAGAUGCAUUUGUUUUUAUUCCUUAGACCUGGAAACUAGUAUGAGAUACAAGCUAGUAUCAGAAAACAUUUGACAGAAGACUUAAGAAAAUUGAUCCUUCAAAGCUAUUAUUUAAAUUUAUUUAUUUUUAAUUGUUUAGUAUUGUAACAUUUUCUUCUAGUACUGUUAUCCUCUAACAUGUAGAGUUACUCCACUUUGAAACCAGAAGUAUUCCAGUUUAUUAUGCUGAAUGUAUGAGUAGCUGAUUGCAACAAAUACACUGGUUUUUAAUUCCUAUUAAACUGCUG